rnacentral:lncRNA from 1 species
UCAGAAGGCAGGGGGCGACUUCAAGCUCCCCAAAACCCUAGUUCACAUCAAAAACCACCAAUUGAAGGAUCAAAUCGAGUCCAAAACGAAAAUCGAGCAUAUAUUCGUGAUCCCCAUUGAAAGGAGAUCAUAAGUUUGUCGCCUAACGAGCUAGGUGGAGGCUUGGAAAAGAAGCGGUCAAACGAAUCAAGCACGAGAAGAAAACGUAUUCGGAUGCGAGAAAAUUUAAAGCAAGAAGUAUGUAAACGGGUCAAUACUAUGAUCCGAGCCAGACUAAAUGGGUCAAAUGGUGUGGAUAACACCAUUUGGCAAUAACAAUUGACAAUCGCUUGUUGAGUUUUGUGAUUUCAGGAAAUAACAUGUGUUGCGUUGCUUUAAUUAGAAAAUUUAAAGCAAGAAGUAUGUAAACGGGUCAAUACUAUGAUCCAAGCCAGGUACGCAUACGUGAAUUUAUAGUUAAAAGUGCAAGAAGGUCUAACAUCUAGCCGAAAUCCUUCAUUUCAAAAUGAAGGACUAAAUGUGACCAAAGAGCCCUUAAUAGGUAAACAAUGUAGACGACCCUUAGAGGUUGCCUAGAAACUUAUAUUAUGAUUUUGAAACCCUUAGAUGUGUAUAAAAGUUCUAGGCAAAAACAAUUGCGGGUCGAACGCCUAGAAAUAGUUAAUUGCGGAAAAAUGACCAACCGAUAGGUAAAAUUGGGAAAAAGGGGUUCAUAUGUUAAAUCCACCACAAAAUAGUUGUGGUGGAAUAUUUCUAGUUAAUUAGACAUGGAAAAUAUUGUAGUAUCAAAAGAAAAGCACAAGUUCUAGACCAAAAUGCGUAAAUACCCUUAACGGGUCGAAAUAGAAGUAUUAGCGAAACGAGUUAAGAAUGUGUAAUAACCCGUGAUUUGAACCUUGUACAAUAGGAAAUAAUCAUAAUAUUAUGUUUACGAAAGAAACAAGGGCCACAAUCAAGUUUGUUAGAUGAAUUCAU